CCCUUAGAUGUUCGGAGCUGCACGCGCGCUACACUGAAGGAAGCAGCGUGUUAGAGCACCUGGCUUGAAAGAGCUGGGUAAUCCGGUGAAUGUCCUUCGUGAUUGGGAUAGGGACUUGUAAUUAUUUCCCUUGAACGAGGAAUACCUAGUAAGUGCGAGUCAUCAGCUUGCGUUGAUUACGUCCCUGCCCUUUGUACACACCGCCCGUCGCUACUACUGAUUGGAUGUUUAAGCGAGGUUCUCGAACUGCUAGCGACUUAGCUUCGGUGAGGUCGCAGUGUGGGAAGUGAACCUAGCUUUGGUGUCUAGAGGAAGUAAAAGUCGUAACA
rnacentral:rRNA from 1 species